CGAGGAUAUUUAGGAAAUUCGAAUUAUUCGAAUUUAAAUUUUAUUUCGAAGAAUCGUUUCAGCGUAAAUAGGCGCUUUUCUUAUUUACUCUUUACGUUCGAAGGAUGAAUUAUACAUAUUUCCCUGCCAAACCGACCAGUUCCCUCUAUCUUCAACGAAGGUACCAAAUUAAGCAGCACGAGGAGCAUUUGGAGAGGAUAAGAAACGCAAAGUCUGUAGUGGAUAACAAGCCACCUGCCACUUUCUGGCACACGCGUUUAAAUUUGAAAAAACUGCAG